rnacentral:lncRNA from 10 species
AGCGCCAGGGUCCAUGCUGCUGCCUUUCUAGACACCGGCCUGCUCCAGACCAUUGGAGCCAAGGCGAGCCAGUCAGGAGCACAUCCACCCUCAAGGCCCAUUCACAGGAAUCAAAGGAGCCGACACAGGACAAGCCAUAAACCACAAGGAGCAGCGGCCCCCAGCGCAGGGGCAACCAGGCCAAAAGCACAGAUGCUCCCAGACAGUGGCUCUCCCCCCAGCAGGACACUGGGUGAUGUCUGGGAACAUUUGUGGUUGUCACGACUGGGGGUACUCCUGACCCGGAGUGAAUGGAGGCCAAAGGUGCUGCCCAGCACCCUGCAGUGCCCACGGUGCCCCAGAGUGAUCCAGGCCAGAGUGCUGACAGAGCCCAGGAGACCUGCCUCGGAAUAACUCCAAAUGCACCAAGAGAGCCCCAGAAAGGCCGGCACGGCCCCAUGAGGUUCCCUAUCACUCCCCGCACUGCAACAGCCUCCCCCAGAUCACGGCCCUCUCUGGCCUGACCAACAAUCUUGCCAGGUGCCUUGUGCUCACUCUGCACAGGUACAAGUAGUCACGGCCUCUAGGGGCCCAGCCAGGAGCCCCACUCAGGAUGUCUCCUUCCACAGCCACCCAAUAAACCCAGAGACCUGCCAUGGGCCUGGCUCUGAGCUGCAUGGCCCCCGGCCACAGUCCUGGGUAUCCUCGAAGCUGCCCAGAGGCGGCUUUCUCCUCUCUCCGCUGAGUCCUUCCUCCCUCUGUGACUUUCCUACAAUAUUUCCAGGUGUCCCUGUCUUACCAUUCCCCAGUGUACCAGAUAAAAUCUUCCAUAAACCUCUCUCUCCAGUUCCAUGACCGUGUGCUGCCUUGGAAGCCAGCAGAACACAAUGGCCUGGGCGCUCGAGGUGACCCCUCUGAGCCUCUGUCCUCUCCCC